CGCAAUGCUAGGUCAGGCGGGAUUACCCGCUUGUUGAUGCUUAUCAAUCAUCGGACGAAAAGAAAACGAUCA
rnacentral:rRNA from 1 species